AAUACAAUGGUUAGGGAAAAAUUUAUAGGUUUAACUGUAUAGGUUUAGCUGUAUGUAACUACAUAGUUUCAACAGUAUAUUAGGAACUGUGGCAAAAAAACAAAUGAGCCAAGCAUCUACCUCAAGACAUUAGAAAAAGAACAAAUUAUGCUCAAAUACAAUAAAAGCCAGGAAAACAAAUUGAGAACGUAAAAUAACAAAAUAGCAAAAAUUUGAUAGAGAAGAUGAACACAGUCAAAUGUUUGUUCUGGUUAAUUUGAUCAAUCCCUGAUGAGUGACCAUGAAGGAGACAGGAGGCACAGAUAAUGGAUUUCGGGAAUGAAAAGGCACACAUCAUUGUGUAUUUAUGCCAGCUCUUAAAAAUCACAAAAGCAUGGUAUUAACAACUUUAUGCUGACAAAGUAGAAACUUUAGACGAGAUGGACAAACUUUUUCAAAAUUCGAUUUACCAAAAAGUCAAAAGAAGUGAAAUAUUCAAAUAGACCUAAAAUUGUCAUCGGCAUUGUAUUCAAAAUACAUCUUAAUUCUUCGUCUGGAUGGGUUAUUCUCUAGGCAUGCUGUUUUGUGAGCUUGUAGACAGUAAUUCUUUUUUAUUUUCCUUUCCUUUUUUCCAUAGUUUGUUCCCAUGUUCCAUAACUUUCUCUGCCCUAGUAUAGUCACUCGUUUUAGUGAAGCACAUUUUCUGGUAGCUCUGAGAAUGCGUACCCAAGAGUGUGGUAGACAUUUGUGGUGCCCUGCAACACACAGAUUAAGGUCACCCUCAAAUGCUUGAUUUGGGGAUGUUAAACCAUCCUUGAAUUCCUGGGAAGAAUCCUACAGAAUUAUGGUAUCUAAUAUUUUUUUAAUAUGUUACUGGAUUUAGAAUGCCAAUAUUUUGUGGAGGAUUUUGUUUUUGUUAUAGAGGAAUAACGAAUAUUCUGAGGUUUUCUUUUCUUGUCAUAUCUUCAUCUGUUUUGGAAUCAGGGAAAUACUUGCCCCAUAGAAUGAGUUCAUAAGCAUUCUUCCUUCUCUCUUUUCUGAAACUGUUUGUAUAUGAUAAUCACAAGCUCUGUUAAUAGCCAGAAUUCUCUUCUCCUUUCCAAUUUUUCCUCUUUCAUAAUGUCUUGUUAUUUUGUUUUUAAUCGAUGCAAUAUUCCCUCGAAUCUCAUGGAGAAUAUGAAUUCUAAUGUUUAAGGACCUCUUAUUAUUUUCUUCAGGUGCCCUAUUUUCAUGGGGGCCGUUUUCUUAGAGUGGUUAGCUUUUGAAUCUUUAAUUAUUUUGGUAAUUUAAAAUUUUUUACUUUUUGCUCAUAGUUAUAAAUGAGGCUCUUUAAAUUAAUGAGGAUUAAUCUCAUAGGACUAUGACAAAUGCUAUUAAUCACUAUUUCAUUUCUCCGGCAGAUACAACCUCUUCCCACUUGCCCACACUCAGAGCCUUCUCGGAGUCCAAAGAGUGUUCCAUCCAUAAUAGACUUUCAGGAUCAAGCAAUUCCUGGCCAAGAAACAAAAGCAGAAUGGUCCCAUUCCCCAGGGGAUUUGGAUGAAAAGUGGUAAUGAAAUCAGGUGCAACUCCAGGAGGAAGCCCUGGAUGGAGAAGAACCAAGCUGGGUCUGUGAGGGAUCACACAGGAGAUGGCACAUAUAUUCAUGCCGCAGGAGGGUCACAUGCUCGUACCCUGUCACACUGUAAACAGCGCCACCACCUGAACAAUAGACAUGUUUUAUUGGGGACAUGAUUUUCCUCUAUUGCUAUGCUUCUGGACAGGUAGGUUGGUUCAGUAAUAAAUAUGUGAGAUCUUU